GGUAUGUUAAGCUCUAUCAGCAGGGAAGAUAAUGACGGUACCUGACUAAGAAGCACCGGCUAAAUACGUGCCAGCAGCCGCGGUAAUACGUAUGGUGCAAGCGUUAUCCGGAUUUACUGGGUGUAAAGGGAGCGCAGGCGGUGCGGCAAGUCUGAUGUGAAAGCCCGGGGCUCAACCCCGGUACUGCAUUGGAAACUGUCGUACUAGAGUGUCGGAGGGGUAAGCGGAAUUCCUAGUGUAGCGGUGAAAUGCGUAGAUAUUAGGAGGAACACCAGUGGCGAAGGCGGCUUACUGGACGAUAACUGACGCUGAGGCUCGAAAGCGUGGGGAGCAAACAGGAUUAGUCACCCUGGUAGUCCACGCCGUAAA
rnacentral:rRNA from 1 species